rnacentral:lncRNA from 1 species
GUUUAAAACCUGGUGCCCUAAAGCCAACUGGUUUGGGAGUCACCGGCCUAAAACUCGUUACAUGGGUUAUAUAGAAAGCAAAUGAGAAGAUGAUAAAAAAAAAAAAAAUCAGAAAAUCAGAGAAAAGUGAGAAAAACAAAAAGAGACAAUAACAAGAAGAAAAGCCCUUGGACAUUUGGUGGAAGAAACUAUACCUUUGAGGCGAG